UCAGCUAGGGGUGCCUUAAAGGCUGAGAGAUGAAUUUUUAUUCAUUAACCCUUGUACCUGAUCUGGAUAAUACCAGCGUAGGAAAGCUUAUAAAUAUG
rnacentral:ncRNA from 1 species